rnacentral:rRNA from 1 species
GCUGGCGGCGUGCCUAAUACAUGCAGUCGAGCGGACAGAUGGGAGCUUGCUCCCUGCUGACUGACCUAGUAUGUUAGCGGCGGACGGGUGAGUAACACGUGGGUAACCUGCCUGUAAGACUGGGAUAACUCCGGGAAACCGGGGCUAAUACCGGAUGGUUGUUUGAACCGCAUGGUUCAAACAUAAAAGGUGGCUUCGGCUACCACUUACAGAUGGACCCGCGGCGCAUUAGCUAGUUGGUGAGGUAAUGGCUCACCAAGGCAACGAUGCGUAGCCGACCUGAGAGGGUGAUCGGCCACACUGGGACUGAGACACGGCCCAGACUCCUACGGGAGGCAGCAGUAGGGAAUCUUCCGCAAUGGACGAAAGUCUGACGGAGCAACGCCGCGUGAGUGAUGAAGGUUUUCGGAUCGUAAAGCUCUGUUGUUAGGGAAGAACAAGUACCGUUCGAAUAGGGCGGUACCUUGACGGUACCUAACCAGAAAGCCACGGCUAACUACGUGCCAGCAGCCGCGGUAAUACGUAGGUGGCAAGCGUUGUCCGGAAUUAUUGGGCGUAAAGGGCUCGCAGGCGGUUUCUUAAGUCUGAUGUGAAAGCCCCCGGCUCAACCGGGGAGGGUCAUUGGAAACUGGGGAACUUGAGUGCAGAAGAGGAGAGUGGAAUUCCACGUGUAGCGGUGAAAUGCGUAGAGAUGUGGAGGAACACCAGUGGCGAAGGCGACUCUCUGGUCUGUAACUGACGCUGAGGAGCGAAAGCGUGGGGAGCGAACAGGAUUAGAUACCCUGGUAGUCCACGCCGUAAACGAUGAGUGCUAAGUGUUAGGGGGUUUCCGCCCCUUAGUGCUGCAGCUAACGCAUUAAGCACUCCGCCUGGGGAGUACGGUCGCAAGACUGAAACUCAAAGGAAUUGACGGGGGCCCGCACAAGCGGUGGAGCAUGUGGUUUAAUUCGAAGCAACGCGAAGAACCUUACCAGGUCUUGACAUCCUCUGACAAUCCUAGAGAUAGGACGUCCCCUUCGGGGGCAGAGUGACAGGUGGUGCAUGGUUGUCGUCAGCUCGUGUCGUGAGAUGUUGGGUUAAGUCCCGCAACGAGCGCAACCCUUGAUCUUAGUUGCCAGCAUUCAGUUGGGCACUCUAAGGUGACUGCCGGUGACAAACCGGAGGAAGGUGGGGAUGACGUCAAAUCAUCAUGCCCCUUAUGACCUGGGCUACACACGUGCUACAAUGUGACUGAGUCUGCUGAUGA